rnacentral:rRNA from 1 species
AUUGAACGCUGGCGGCAUGCCUUACACAUGCAAGUCGAACGGCAGCACGGGAGCAAUCCUGGUGACGAGUGGCGGACGGGUGAGUAAAGUAUCGGAACGUGCCCAGUCGUGGGGGAUAACGUAGCGAAAGUUACGCUAAUACCGCAUACGAUCUAUGGAUGAAAGCGGGGGAUCGCAAGACCUCGCGCGAUUGGAGCGGCCGAUAUCAGAUUAGGUAGUUGGUGGGGUAAAGGCCCACCAAGCCGACGAUCUGUAGCUGGUCUGAGAGGACGACCAGCCACGCUGGGACGGAGAGACGGCCCAGACUCCUGCGGGAGGCAGCAGUGGGGAAUUUUGGACAAUGGGCGAAAGCCUGAUCCAGCCAUGCCGCGUGCAGGAUGAAGGCCUUCGGGUUGUAAACUGCUUUUGUACGGAACGAAAAGGACUGCCCUAAUACGGUGGUCCCAUGACGGUACCGUAAGAAUAAGCACCGGCUAACUACGUGCCAGCCGCCGCGGUAA